rnacentral:rRNA from 1 species
AACGACUCUCGACAACGGAUAUCUCGGCUCUCGCAUCGAUGAAGAACGUAGCGAAAUGCGAUACUUGGUGUGAAUUGCAGAAUCCCGUGAACCAUCGAGUCUUUGAACGCAAGUUGCGCCCGAAGCCACUAGGCCGAGGGCACGCCUGCUUGGGUGUCACGC